rnacentral:lncRNA from 1 species
GACACAGGUUGUGUCCUGUCCCAUGUCUCACCUGCUUUGUAAAUCCAAAGGCCAGGAAGAGCAGAUUCUAUUUUUCAGCUGGAAUGUGUCCCACUGAGGUCCUGCCACUGCUGAAGGUCUUGUGAUCCUUUGUAAGAUCUGCAUUGCCAACAGGGCUUUAUAUAGAAUGUGAGGUGUGGAUCCAGCUUCUCCUAGGAGAAAGUGCCCUCACCUCUGCCCCCACUCAAACACGCCGUGUUCGGCUGCUCCCGUUCCAAAAGCAGGAAAAUACACACGGGUCUCAUGGCCACAAGCGGUCCCGGGGAGCCCAGAGGUGCCUGUAUCUAAUGACCGGUGCCCACCGAAAGCCACCGGGAAGGGCCGCAACGGCGCCGUUAAAUGGAGAAAGAGAGAAGAAUGUGAUCUGUGAUAAAAAGUGUGUGCUUGUGGCCGCCUGUUCCUAAGGGUUCACCUGCUAUUACAGAUUACCCAGGUGCGGAUAAACCAGGCACCCUGCUCAUCUGGGAUAUGUCACACUGACAAUGCUCCCUGCUCAUCUGGGAUGUGCCACAGUGACACUGCUCCCUGCUCAUCUGGGAUGGGGGGGGGGGGGGGGGGGGGGGGGGGGGGGGGGGGGGGGGGGGGGGG